rnacentral:rRNA from 1 species
UACGGAGGGGGCUAGCGUUGUUCGGAAUUACUGGGCGUAAAGCGCGCGUAGGCGGCUUUGUAAGUUAGAGGUGAAAGCCCGGAGCCUCAACUCCGGAAUUGCCUUUAAGACUGCAUCGCUAGAAUCAUGGAGAGGUGAGUGGAAUUCCGAGUGUAGAGGUGAAAUUCGUAGAUAUUCGGAAGAACAACAGUGGCGAAGGCGACUCACUGGACAUGUAUUGACGCUGAGGUGCGAAAGCGUGGGGAGCAAACAGG